GACGAACGCUGGCGGCGUGCUUAACACAUGCAAGUCGAACGGAAAGGCCCUGCUUUUGUGGGGUGCUCGAGUGGCGAACGGGUGAGUAACACGUGAGUAACCUGCCCUUGACUUUGGGAUAACUUCAGGAAACUGGGGCUAAUACCGGAUAGGAGCUCCUGCUGCAUGGUGGGGGUUGGAAAGUUUCGGCGGUUGGGGAUGGACUCGCGGCUUAUCAGCUUGUUGGUGGGGUAGUGGCUUACCAAGGCUUUGACGGGUAGCCGGCCUGAGAGGGUGACCGGCCACAUUGGGACUGAGAUACGGCGCAGACGCCUACGGGAGGCAGCAGUGGGGAAUAUUGCACAGUGGGCGGAAGCCUGAUGCAGCAACGCCGCGUGCGGGAUGACGGCCUUCGGGUUGUAAACCGCUUUCGCAUGUGACGAAGCGUGAGUGACGGUAAUGGGUAAAGAAGCACCGGCUAACUACGUG
rnacentral:rRNA from 1 species